CAAGCAACCAAAGCAAAAACAGAUAGGUUACCAAAGACUGGGAAAGGUAGGGGGGAAUGGGGAAGGUUAACGGAUACAAAAUAUAGUUACAUAGAAUGAAUAAGCUCUAGUAUUUGAUAGCACAAAGUGACUAGAGAAUAAUUUAUUGUACAUUUUAAAAUAUAAUAACUAAGGCUGGACGUGGUAGCUCACGCCUGUAAUCCCAGCACUUUAGGAGGCCCAGGCGGGCAGGCCGCUUGAGGUCAGGAGUUCGUGACCAGCCUGGCCAACAUGGCAAAAACCCAUCUCUACUAAAAAUACAAAAAUAAGCCAAGUGUGCUGGCUUGCCACCGUAGUCCCAGCUAACUCAGGAGGCUGA
rnacentral:lncRNA from 1 species